AAGUCGUAACAAGGUUUCCGUAGGUGAACCUGCGGAAGGAUCAUUAUGAAUCAGUAGCUUGCUACUAUGCUGGGGUAGACGGGAAAGUCCUAGCUGAAAAGCUAGAGUGCCGGUACCUGUACCCCUAUCAUACCCUUGUCUUUUGAGUACUUAUGUUUCCUUGGUAGGCUUGCCUGCCAAAAGGACAAACUUGAAACCUAUUUAAAUAUCAAUCAGCGUCUGAUAAUAAAUUAAUGAAUUACAACUUUCAACAACGGAUCUCUUGGUUCUG
rnacentral:misc_RNA from 1 species